AUUGAACGCUGGCGGCAUGCCUUACACAUGCAAGUCGAACGGCAGCGCGGACUUCGGUCUGGCGGCGAGUGGCGAACGGGUGAGUAAUGCAUCGGAACGUACCUUUCAGUGGGGGAUAACGUAGCGAAAGUUACGCUAAUACCGCAUAUUCUGUGAGCAGGAAAGCAGGGGAUCGCAAGACCUUGCGCUGAUUGAGCGGCCGAUAUCAGAUUAGCUAGUUGGUGGGGUAAAAGCUCACCAAGGCGACGAUCUGUAGCGGGUCUGAGAGGAUGAUCCGCCACACUGGAACUGAGACACGGUCCAGACUCCUACGGGUGGCAG
rnacentral:rRNA from 1 species